UCCUUUUUGAAAUAAGGUCGCAAAAAUACUAAGUUAUUAAUAAUUUCAUCACUUAGGUUAGAUCUAAGUUACGUCAUAGAAGGUCCAGCUGCACAAAUAACUUAUUUUGUUUCAACAAAAGAUGGUGAUAUAGAAUUAAUCUAUAAUUUUAACAUUUGUAAGAGCUUUGGACUAAAUUAUACAGGCUGGCUAUCUUAAAUCCAGAACAAAUUUAGACCUCAAUAGCUUAGCCUUCCUGAGAUCUAUGUUUAUGAAAGCGUAUUGAUCAGAUAUUGUUGAAAAAACUGAAAAGUAUAAAAAACAAAAUUUUUAAGGUGUCCUACGAAUACGAACGCCGUGAGGAUAUUAUUGUGUGCCUUCGUGCUGAGCACACGCCCAAUGAGAUAAUGGAGUUUACAAAGGUUCACAAAUCAACUGUUUCCCAUGUAGCUAAGGAUUUCAAGGAGCUUGAUGGUCGGGAAUACCUUCAAGGAAGACUCAUGAUCGUUUAAGGCUAAUAACUGAGGACAAAUUAAAGGAAUACCCGAUUAACAUUAAAGGAUAUGUGACCUCCUAGCUCGCCGGACCUGAACCCCUCGAACUACAUACCAUUCUCGAGACAGUGGUCACCAUGGAGAAAGAGUUCCUUAUCAAUACCUGUGCCAGGAGCUGUCUCACUCUGAUGUAGUAGAUACUUCCCCUUUGUUGUCUAUACCCGACGAACCUUCUUUCGAUGGGAUCAGACUGGAAAAUGUCGAGGAGUGCAUAGGAGAAGUCUUCAUCUAGGAGAAGAUACUCUGCCAGAUCUGUUGCGGCAAGGCAAGUCUGCUUUGUUACUAGGAAGAGGAAGGAAUCAAUGUUGCAGGAAGAGGGAUUUAUAUAUGUUAUGGGUCUAUGGCUGCAAACUUUAUCAAGAGGGGGAUUAAUUCAAUCAUCUAAAGAAUUUAUAAACUUUUCAAAGGAUAUGGAAGACGAAUUUAAUCAAUUCCACGGCGACUAUGUCGAUAAUAAACCAUUUGUUAUGGAUAGACUGAUCACAAUUAUUCAAAAAUUGAUUUGACAAUGGAGUUGUCCUUCCGAAACUUGGAUGGCCAUUAUGUUUGAAAG
rnacentral:lncRNA from 1 species